rnacentral:rRNA from 1 species
GGUGGCGACCAUACCAUACCGGUUCUCGUCUGAUUGCCGAAAUUAAGCAACGUCGGGACUGGGCUAGUAUUUGCAUAGGUGGCCGGCUGGGAAUACCGGGUGUUGCGGCCA